UGAACUGAAAAUCGCAUUUGAAAACUCAGUUUGCUUAGUCAAUCAAUCAAUCAAUGUUUAUUGAUUAGCCCAAGGGCCAUCUCAAACUAUCACAGAGCCAAAUAGAACUCUAUAUAAAAACUCUAUGAAAGAGUUCUCUGAAGAUGCCAAAGCCACAGAUGCCACAAAACGCCAGGAAUAAACCCUUCUAGAACAUGGCCAGAGAACCCAAAAACCCAUAAAGACGAUGGAUGCCAGCCAUGAAAGCCUUCGACUUCACAUCUGUGUAAAAGGCGAGUUUUCCACAUUUGACUCCGAUAAGCAUUCGCUUGGAUGUGACUGGAGCUGUUCAGCUGGCUGCAAGAUGGUACAGAUGGGCAUCGAGCUCCAGCUCCUUUGGCUCAGCGUAGCAGCAGUACUCGCAGC